CAUGUUCCAUCAUCAUCAUUGUUGUCAUCAUCGUCGUCAUCAUCAUCAUCUAUUGUAGCCAUAGAAAUUAGCAAUGAUUGACAGUCAGAAGGAUGCUGGCAUUCAAAUGUCUUACAGCAUUCUGCAGGCUCUGUAAGGCCUUCUGAUCCAGGAGCAUAAAUCUGUUAAGAGAACAGCAACAGUGGACGAGAACGUGGUCCAAGUGCAUUUUGAAACAAAAGUAUGGCAGAUGGCAUCCGGACACUGGGAGACCAGGAUUAUGACUCGAAUCGCUCCACCUGGAAA
rnacentral:lncRNA from 1 species